ensembl:lncRNA
GAUACAAUCUAAAGAAAAACACACAUCUAGGUCUAACAAUAAUAAAUAAUAAAGCUAUUCAUACAGGCCCCUGUUUACACGAUGGUAAUUUCGCCAUAAUUGUAGGUAAAAGGAACAGGCACACAAACAGGAGUCUGUAGUAAUUCAGCGUUACCUGGUGCUUGGGAGUAGCUAUUUCGUCUAGGUACGUACCUUUGGGGAAGAAAACUAUUUCAAGCUCUGAAGGAACAUCAGCAAAGCUCUCCUGCAUCCUCAGAGCUGUAUUCACACCAGAAAAAGAAAUAAAAGCAAGAGUUAAUUCCCUCAUGAGGGGUUGUUUUCCAGCAGCAUUUCCAGUCACCUGCAGCUAUCCCCAGCCCGCACACCUCAGGGGACACCAAGGGGUGGCAGAUGAAAAGACAGCAAUGCAAGCAGCACGUGGUGUUCAAGCAGCCUGGAGGCUGGCAGCAUUCAGUGGAAAAACAGGCUGUGAGCAAACACAGUCACUGGGGCUUCCUCACGCCUGGACUUGGGCACAGUGCCUUCACUCUCCAUCUCCUUGCCAUCAUUCACUGCCCUGUGGCCCACUGCUCAGCUCAGAGAAAAAACCUCUGUGGGAUGGCAGAGUGGAAAUCAUGGGAUCGGUUAGGUUGGAAAAGACCUUCGAGAUCAUCAAGUCCAGCCAUCAACUUGACUUACCCAUGUCCCACCAAAGUGGCUCAUAGGAACACAGCCACCCUUCAGUGAGCAGCUCAGGUCCUGCACAGGGCUCUCCUACUGGUUUUGAGGGAAAGUUCAGAUCUGUUUCUUUGAGCCAACAUGGUGAAUUCAAACAGAAGCACUUUCUUCAUGGAUUACGAGAGGUGGUAGAUUAGAGACAAAGCAAGCACAGAAGAGUCUGGUACUUGAGAAGCAGAAAAAUGACUUGCAACCAGAAGAUAAGGACUGUGGCACAGGGCUCUGUUCCUGCUGCAUGCUGGGCUCCUGGCUCACCCACCUGCUGCCAUGUCUGCACUGAGCAGUGGGAUCCUGGAAACGUUAAGCCCGGAAAGCAUAUCCUGUAGAGUACAAGCUUGAUUGGUAUUAACUCAAUAUUUCUACUUACCAGUGUCAAUGUGCUCAACAGGCUAAAUGCU